GGCUCUAUGGUAUAAAGGUAAUUACAUCCGACUGUCUAUCGGAAGAUUUGGUUCGAUUCCCAAUAGAGUCG
rnacentral:tRNA from 2 species